ACCUCAAGAAGCACCGGCUAACUCCGUGCCAGCAGCCGCGGUAUGUUCGUCCUACGGGAGGCAGCAGUGGGGAAUUUUGGACAAUGGGGGCAACCCUGAUCCAGCCAUGCCGCGUGAGUGAAGAAGGCCUUCGGGUUGUAAAGCUCUUUUGGUCGGAAAGAAAAGGCUUCGUCUAAUAAACGAGGCUCUUGACGGUACCGGCAGAAUAAGCACCGGCUAACUACGUGCCAGCAGCCGCGGUC
rnacentral:rRNA from 1 species